CAACAAGCAAAGUAAUCCUAUAAGAAAAAUUAUAAGUCUAUUACUACUUAUAACGUUCUUGUUAUGGUAUUGCGGUAGACUCUAUGACUUAUAACAGCAUUUGCCAAGCCUAAACAUACUCAAGCGCAUUAGAUUUUAUAUCUCGGUCUUAUAGUCCGCUACAAGACUGACCUCUAAAACAUUUAUAAGACACUUUUACUAGUAGCAGCAUUUCACAAGCAUAGAUAUGCUCAAGAGUAAUUGUUUUUAUAUAUCAGUCUUAUAGUUAACUACAAGAUUAUCUUUUAGGACACUUAUAGGACUAAACAAUCCUGAAUAAUAUUUUGAUCCUAUACUAGCAUUUUGUGAGAGAAAACGAUAUUAUAACAUCCUUAGCUGAGACCACUACAAGUUUGUGCCGUCAUAGUCUUGCUCAAGACUUUUAUUAGCCUUAGAACUUAAUAAGAGCGCUAUAAGUUAAAAAACUUAUAAACUUGUAGAUCAAACACUUUAUUAGUAAACGUCAGCCAUUUUGUAACAUUCAGUUGUACCCGUCCAUUGUGAGAAUUCAGUUUAAUAUGAACUUAAAUGAUUGGAAACGAUUGAAAAGAAGUGGUGGUUACAGGAGAAAGGUAAAAAAUAGGUAUAAAGAAUUAAUUAUGUCAGGGUCUUCAGAAAUAAAAUCAAGUGCGUUAGGCGGAAUAAUUGAGGGUUCCGUGAGCAGAAAUAUUUUUCCACGUCUUCCCCACGACUCAGAAAGUGAAGAAGUUCAGAACAGCGAAGAAGAAUAUAUCGAAGAGACCACUGACUAUGACAAUAAUCAUGAAUUUCUGAAAGACAUGCAAAGCUGGGCUAUAAAAUUUAAUAUACCUCACCUGGCCCUAAACGAACUCUUUACUUUUUUGAACAAAAGAUUAGGUAAUGUUUUACCCAAAGAUGCUCGUACUUUACUUCAUACAAACAAAGAAACGGUGCAUAUUACAACCUCAGAUCCAGGACAGUAUUGGCAUAACGGAUUGAUUAAAUGCCUAAAAAAUACACUGCAGGGGCUGGAUUUGAAUACUUUACGAAAUACGAUUUCGUUAAAUGUAAACAUAGAUGGGUUGCCUGUAUACAAAAGUUCAAGACAUCAACUCUGGCCUAUUUUGUGUAACAUCUUUGAAAUUCCCCACAUACCUCCCUUUGUGAUUGGAAUUUAUGCGGGUGAAGGAAAACCAUCUGAUCUAAAUGCUUAUUUAGAGUCUUUUGUGAAAGAAAUGAACGAACUUGAAGAAUAUGGAUUAGAUACAUCGUUGGCGCCAAAUGAAUCUAAAAUCAAAGUCAAAUUAAGAGCCUUCAUUUGUGAUUCACCAGCAAGAGCCUUGAUUAAAGGUGUCACAAAUUUUAAUGGAAAGCAUGGCUGUCUGAAAUGUACGGUGAUUGGCGAAUACUCACAUAAAUCAAAUACUGUAACAUUUCCUAAGUCCAAUUGUCCUAAAAGAAACGAUAAAGAUUUUCGUGCUAAAAAUAUGAAGAACACCAUAAGCAUGAUUCUCCGUUAUUGAAACUAAACAUAGAUAUGAUAGAGGAUUUUCCUGUGGCAGACUCAUUACACCUAAUAGACCUUGGCUUGAUGAAGCGGUUGUUGAUUGGAUGGCGUGACGGAAAGUUGGGAAAAUACCUAACCAAAUGGAGUGCUCGUGAAAUUGAUAUUGUCAAUAGCUUUUUACUGAAUUGUCAAAUGCCCAAAGAAAUUCACAGAUCAAUGAGAUCUGUAGAUGUUUUGGCCCAUUGGAAAGGUUCCGAAUACCGCUC